rnacentral:rRNA from 1 species
UACGGAGGGGGCAAGCGUUGUUCGGAAUUACUGGGCGUAAAGGGCGCGUAGGCGGUUUGCUAAGUCGGAUGUGAAAUCCCUGGGCUCAACCCAGGAACUGCGUCCGAUACUGGUUGGCUUGAAUCCGGGAGAGGGACGUGGAAUUCCAGGUGUAGCGGUGAAAUGCGUAGAUAUCUGGAGGAACACCGGUGGCGAAGGCGACGUCCUGGACCGGCAUUGACGCUGAGGCGCGAAAGCCAGGGGAGCAAACGGG